UGAUUCUUUCGGGAUGAAAAGUUUUGUGACUGAGCGGCGGACGGGUGAGUAACGCGUGGGUAACCUGCCUCAUACAGGGGGAUAACAGUUAGAAAUGACUGCUAGUACCGCAUAAGACCACAGCACCGCAUGGUGCAGGGGUAAAAACCCCGGUGGUAUGAGAUGGACCCGCGUCUGAUUAGGUAGUUGGUGAGGUAACGGCUCACCAAGCCGACGAUCAGUAGCCGACCUGAGAGGGUGACCGGCCACAUUGGGACUGAGACACGGCCCAAACUCCUACGGGAGGCAGCAGUGGGGAAUAUUGCACAAUGGGGGAAACCCUGAUGCAGCGACGCCGCGUGAGCGAAGAAGUAUUUCGGUAUGUAAAGCUCUAUCAGCAGGGAAGAAACUGACGGUACCUGACUAAGAAGCACCGGCUAAAUACGUGCCAGCAGCCGCGGUAAUACGUAUGGUGCAAGCGUUAUCCGGAUUUACUGGGUGUAAAGGGAGCGUAGACGGAGUGGCAAGUCUGGAGUGAAAACCCAGGGCUCAACCCUGGGACUGCUUUGGAAACUGUCAAUCUAGAGUGCUGGAGAGGUAAGUGGAAUUCCUAGUGUAGCGGUGAAAUGCGUAGAUAUUAGGAGGAACACCAGUGGCGAAGGCGGCUUACUGGACAGUGACUGACGUUGAGGCUCGAAAGCGUGGGGAGCAAACAGG
rnacentral:rRNA from 1 species